rnacentral:rRNA from 1 species
CAGUCGCCGCGGUAAUACAGAGGGUGCGAGCGUUAAUCGGAUUUACUGGGCGUAAAGCGUGCGUAGGCGGCUUCUUAAGUCGGAUGUGAAAUCCCUGAGCUUAACUUAGGAAUUGCAUUCGAUACUGGGAAGCUAGAGUAUGGGAGAGGAUGGUAGAAUUCCAGGUGUAGCGGUGAAAUGCGUAGAGAUCUGGAGGAAUACCGAUGGCGAAGGCAGCCAUCUGGCCUAAUACUGACGCUGAGGUACGAAAGCAUGGGGAGCAAACAGGAUUAGAUACCCCUGUAGUCCCUGUCUCUUAACA